GGCGCAAGGAAGCUGAUUGG
rnacentral:siRNA from 1 species